rnacentral:rRNA from 1 species
UGCAAGUCGAACGAGGUAUAUUUUUCGGAAUAUACUUAGUGGCGGACGGGUGAGUAACGCGUGAACAAUCUGCCCUGUACAAAGGAAUAGCCUCGGGAAACCGGGAUUAAAACCGUAUAACACUUUAGUAUCGCAUGAUACAGAAGUCAAAUAUUUAUAGGUAUGGGAUGAGUUCGCGUCUGAUUAGCUAGUUGGUAAGGUAAUGGCUUACCAAGGCGACGAUCAGUAGCCGGCCUGAGAGGGUGAACGGCCACACUGGAACUGAGACACGGUCCAGACUCC